UGUCGUCUAAAACGGCGAAGGGCUAUAGUCACACCAGCGGGCCUAUAAUACAUAUUUUAAUGCAAUUAUCUUAUAGUCUGAAGGGGGUGUUUGCAAGAGUACCAGCACCACACUGGAAAAAGUAUGACUCGUCGCUGCAAAAGUGCUGGUGGUCCGAGUCCCCCUCGGCAGGGUCCCUCCGGUGAGGCAGUGCUUGAUCGCUGAAGGAAUACUGGGAGCGAGUGAGCGAGCGCUCUCGCGGAGUUACAAACUGGAUGGAGCCGACUGAAGUAGGCGAGAUACUUUAGUUAUAAUAAGUGGAUUUUGACAGCGGAUCUCUGGCCUCAGUCUCGCGACGUUCCCUACUGGAUCUUACCGCGUGCCCGCUGGGGGAAAAUAAAUUAUUAUCUGCAAGAAAACAGAGCUGGCAUGCGCUAAUAUGGAAACCAAACCAUUCUUGUCUCUAGGGCUCCUGAAAAACCCCUGCUCAGUAGCGCCGCCGUGUUUGCGGAGCCGGCCGGGCGACGCUGGCGGUUCGCCCAAUGGCUGCUCCGGCUUCACGGGUACCUACCCGCUGCAACAGCGCAGGAUAUCCACAGACUCCUCUGUUCAGCUGU